GCAACAAAGCUACAAUGUUACCGAGUACAUUCAUUUACUGUCUUGCUCUUUUCCUUUUUGGGUGGGGGGAGGAGGUGUGCAGUUGCUUUGGUGCACUUACUGUCAUUAUAUUAUAAUUCAUGCUGUAUAAUGUAAAUUGGGCCAAUUUUACAUCAAUUGGAUCACUAACUAGAACUUGUUAUUGUAAGGCACAAUUUUUCAGGGCUCUUUUGUUCUGA
rnacentral:misc_RNA from 1 species